rnacentral:rRNA from 1 species
GACGAACGCUGGCGGCGUGCUUAACACACGCAAGUCGAACGAUGAACCCGGAGCUUGCUCCGGUGGAUUAGUGGCGAACGGGUGAGUAACACGUGAGUAACCUGCCCUUGACUCUGGGAUAACUGCGGGAAACUGUAGCUUAUACCGGAUACGACCCUCGGCGGCAUCGCCAGGGGGUGGAAAGAAUUUCGGUCAAGGAUGGACUCGCGGCCUAUCAGCUAGUUGGUGAGGUAACGGCUCACCAAGGCGACGACGGGUAGCCGGCCUGAGAGGGUGACCGGCCACACUGGGACUGAGACACGGCCCAGACUCCUACGGGAGGCAGCAGUGGGGAAUAUUGCACAAUGGGCGCAAGACUGAUGCAGCAACGCCGCGUGAGGGAUGACGGCCUUCGGGUUGUAAACCUCUUUUAGUAGGGAAGAAGCGAAAGUGACGAUACCUGCAGAAAAAGCACCGGCUAACUACGUGCCAGCCGCCGCCGUAA